rnacentral:rRNA from 1 species
AGCAGUCGCCGCGGGAAUACGUAGGGUGCAAGCGUUAAUCGGAAUUACUGGGCGUAAAGCGUGCGCAGGCGGUGUUGUAAGACUGAUGUGAAAUCCCCGGGCUCAACCUGGGAACUGCAUUGGUGACUGCAACGCUGGAGUGCGGCAGAGGGGGAUGGAAUUCCGCGUGUAGCAGUGAAAUGCGUAGAUAUGCGGAGGAACACCGAUGGCGAAGGCAAUCCCCUGGGCCUGCACUGACGCUCAUGCACGAAAGCGUGGGGAGCAAACAGGAUUAGAUACCCCCGUAGUCCCUGUCUCUUAUAC